rnacentral:lncRNA from 1 species
GGAGGGAGUUGCCAAGGAAGAAUUUGUGGCAGCUGAGGAUGUUGGCGAAGGCACCCCCAGCCUGCGCAAAUCUGUUCAGAACUUUAUCAGUUCGUUCUGGAUUAGGUUUGGGCGGGCUGAGGCGAAGAAGAUGGCGGAGGCUCACCGCGCUGAGGUACGUGUGACUUGGUUUUUGUUUUGUAUUCUGUUCUACUACGUUGUUACAUUUCUUAUGCCUGUUGUUUUGCAGGAGAUUGCC